rnacentral:rRNA from 1 species
UGGGGAAUUUUGGACAAUGGGCGCAAGCCUGAUCCAGCCAUUCCGCGUGCAGGACGAAGGCCUUCGGGUUGUAAACUGCUUUUGUACGGAACGAAAAGGCUCUGGCUAAUACCUGGGGCUCAUGACGGUACCGUAAGAAUAAGCACCGGCUAACUACGUGCCAGCAGCCGCGGUAAUACGUAGGGUGCAAGCGUUAAUCGGAAUUACUGGGCGUAAAGCGUGCGCAGGCGGCUUUGCAAGACAGAUGUGAAAUCCCCGGGCUCAACCUGGGAACUGCAUUUGUGACUGCAAGGCUGGAGUGCGGCAGAGGGGGAUGGAAUUCCGCGUGUAGCAGUGAAAUGCGUAGAUAUGCGGAGGAACACCGAUGGCGAAGGCAAUCCCCUGAGCCUGCACUGACGCUCAUGCACGAAAGCGUGGGGAGCAAACA